rnacentral:misc_RNA from 1 species
UUUCCGUAGGUGAACCUGCGGAAGGAUCAUUAUUGUAUAACCGAGGCGCGAGGGCUGUCGCUGACCCGAAAGGUCGUGCACGCCCGAGUGCCCUCACACACAUCCAUCUCACCCCUGUGUGCACCACCGCGUGGGUCCCCCUUUGGCUUGUUCGGAGGGGGGCUUACGUUGUCACACAAACUUUGUAUGCAGUGUAGAAUGUAUUUUUUGUUUUUGCGAUCACGCAAUCAAUACAACUUUCAACAACGGAUCUCUUGGCUCUC